CGGGUGAGUAAUGUAUGGGGAUCUGCCCGAUGGAGGGGGAUAACUACUGGAAACGGUAGCUAAUACCGCAUAACGUCGCAAGACCAAAGAGGGGGACCUUCGGGCCUCUUGCCAUCGGAUGUGCCCAGAUGGGAUUAGCUAGUAGGUGGGGUAACGGCUCACCUAGGCGACGAUCCCUAGCUGGUCUGAGAGGAUGAUCAGCCACACUGGGACUGAGACACGGCCCAG
rnacentral:rRNA from 1 species